rnacentral:rRNA from 1 species
AUUGAACGCUGGCGGCAGGCUUAACACAUGCAAGUCGAGCGGAGAUGAGGUGCUUGCACCUUAUCUUAGCGGCGGACGGGUGAGUAAUGCUUAGGAAUCUGCCUAUUAGUGGGGGACAACAUUCCGAAAGGAAUGCUAAUACCGCAUACGUCCUACGGGAGAAAGCAGGGGAUCUUCGGACCUUGCGCUAAUAGAUGAGCCUAAGUCGGAUUAGCUAGUUGGUGGGGUAAAGGCCUACCAAGGCGACGAUCUGUAGCGGGUCUGAGAGGAUGAUCCGCCACACUGGGCCUGAGACACGGCCCAGACUCCUACGGGAGGCAGCAGUGGGGAAUAUUGGACAAUGGGGGAAACCCUGAUGCAGCCAUGCCGGGUGUGUGAAGAAGGCCUUAUGGUUGUAAAGCACUUUAAGCGAGGAGGAGGCUACUGAGACUAAUACUCUUGGAUAGUGGACGUUACUCGCAGAAUAAGCACCGGCUAACUCUGUGCCAGCCGCCGCCGUAAAAC